ensembl:ncRNA F29C4.11 ncRNA
CUGGAGAGUGAAACUUUGUACUGUACAUCGAGUAAUAUGACUGUACAGUACUACAGAGGUCCUUUGGGCUUUUGACCAACAGAAAUCGCAGGAAUUUUAUUUCUGGAAUAUGACUUCAAACCAAAAU